AGCGCAUACGGUGGAUGCUUGGCAGUCAGAGGCGAUGAAAGACGUGGUAGCCUGCGAAAAGCUUCGGGGAGUCGGCAAACAGACUUUGAUCCGGAGAUCUCUGAAUGGGGGAACCCACCUAGGAUAACCUAGGUAUCUUGUACUGAAUCCAUAGGUGCAAGAGGCGAACCAGGGGAACUGAAACAUCUAAGUACCCUGAGGAAAAGAAAUCAACCGAGAUUCCCUUAGUAGUGGCGAGCGAACGGGGAUUAGCCCUUAAGCUUCAUUGAUUUUAGCGGAACGCUCUGGAAAGUGCGGCCAUAGUGGGUGAUAGCCCCGUACGCGAAAGGAUCUUUGAAGUGAAAUCGAGUAGGACGGAGCACGAGAAACUUUGUCUGAACAUGGGGGGACCAUCCUCCAAGGCUAAAUACUACUGACUGACCGAUAGUGAACCAGUACCGUGAGGGAAAGGCGAAAAGAACCCCGGAGAGGGGAGUGAAAUAGAACCUGAAACCGUAUGCGUACAAGCAGUGGGAGCCUACUUGUUAGGUGACUGCGUACCUUUUGUAUAAUGGGUCAGCGACUUAUAUUCAGUGGCAAGCUUAACCGUAUAGGGUAGGCGUAGCGAAAGCGAGUCUUAAUAGGGCGUUUAGUCGCUGGGUAUAGACCCGAAACCGGGCGAUCUAUCCAUGAGCAGGUUGAAGGUUAGGUAACACUGACUGGAGGACCGAACCCACUCCCGUUGAAAAGGUAGGGGAUGACUUGUGGAUCGGAGUGAAAGGCUAAUCAAGCUCGGAGAUAGCUGGUUCUCCUCGAAAGCUAUUUAGGUAGCGCCUCAUGUAUCACUCUGGGGGGUAGAGCACUGUUUCGGCUAGGGGGUCAUCCCGACUUACCAAACCGAUGCAAACUCCGAAUACCCAGAAGUGCCGAGCAUGGGAGACACACGGCGGGUGCUAACGUCCGUCGUGAAAAGGGAAACAACCCAGACCGCCAGCUAAGGUCCCAAAGUUGUGGUUAAGUGGUAAACGAUGUGGGAAGGCUUAGACAGCUAGGAGGUUGGCUUAGAAGCAGCCAUCCUUUAAAGAAAGCGUAAUAGCUCACUAGUCGAGUCGGCCUGCGCGGAAGAUGUAACGGGGCUCAAACCACACACCGAAGCUGCGGGUGUCACGUAAGUGACGCGGUAGAGGAGCGUUCUGUAAGCCUGUGAAGGUGAGUUGAGAAGCUUGCUGGAGGUAUCAGAAGUGCGAAUGCUGACAUGAGUAACGACAAUGGGUGUGAAAAACACCCACGCCGAAAGACCAAGGGUUCCUGCGCAACGUUAAUCGACGCAGGGUUAGUCGGUUCCUAAGGCGAGGCUGAAAAGCGUAGUCGAUGGGAAACAGGUUAAUAUUCCUGUACUUCUGGUUACUGCGAUGGAGGGACGGAGAAGGCUAGGCCAGCUUGGCGUUGGUUGUCCAAGUUUAAGGUGGUAGGCUGAAAUCUUAGGUAAAUCCGGGGUUUCAAGGCCGAGAGCUGAUGACGAGUCGUCUUUUAGAUGACGAAGUGGUUGAUGCCAUGCUUCCAAGAAAAGCUUCUAAGCUUCAGGUAACCAGGAACCGUACCCCAAACCGACACAGGUGGUCGGGUAGAGAAUACCAAGGCGCUUGAGAGAACUCGGGUGAAGGAACUAGGCAAAAUGGCACCGUAACUUCGGGAGAAGGUGCGCCGGCUAGGGUGAAGGAUUUACUCCGUAAGCUCUGGCUGGUCGAAGAUACCAGGCCGCUGCGACUGUUUAUUAAAAACACAGCACUCUGCAAACACGAAAGUGGACGUAUAGGGUGUGACGCCUGCCCGGUGCCGGAAGGUUAAUUGAUGGGGUUAGCGCAAGCGAAGCUCUUGAUCGAAGCCCCGGUAAACGGCGGCCGUAACUAUAACGGUCCUAAGGUAGCGAAAUUCCUUGUCGGGUAAGUUCCGACCUGCACGAAUGGCGUAACGAUGGCGGCGCUGUCUCCACCCGAGACUCAGUGAAAUUGAAAUCGCUGUGAAGAUGCAGUGUAUCCGCGGCUAGACGGAAAGACCCCGUGAACCUUUACUGUAGCUUUGCACUGGACUUUGAGCCUGCUUGUGUAGGAUAGGUGGGAGGCUUUGAAGCGUGGACGCCAGUUCGCGUGGAGCCAUCCUUGAAAUACCACCCUGGCAUGCUUGAGGUUCUAACUCUGGUCCGUGAUCCGGAUCGAGGACAGUGUAUGGUGGGCAGUUUGACUGGGGCGGUCUCCUCCUAAAGAGUAACGGAGGAGUACGAAGGUGCGCUCAGACCGGUCGGAAAUCGGUCGCAGAGUAUAAAGGCAAAAGCGCGCUUGACUGCGAGACAGACACGUCGAGCAGGUACGAAAGUAGGUCUUAGUGAUCCGGUGGUUCUGUAUGGAAGGGCCAUCGCUCAACGGAUAAAAGGUACUCCGGGGAUAACAGGCUGAUACCGCCCAAGAGUUCAUAUCGACGGCGGUGUUUGGCACCUCGAUGUCGGCUCAUCACAUCCUGGGGCUGAAGCCGGUCCCAAGGGUAUGGCUGUUCGCCAUUUAAAGUGGUACGCGAGCUGGGUUUAGAACGUCGUGAGACAGUUCGGUCCCUAUCUGCCGUGGACGUUUGAGAUUUGAGAGGGGCUGCUCCUAGUACGAGAGGACCGGAGUGGACGAACCUCUGGUGUUCCGGUUGUCACGCCAGUGGCAUUGCCGGGUAGCUAUGUUCGGAAAAGAUAACCGCUGAAAGCAUCUAAGCGGGAAACUUGCCUCAAGAUGAGAUCUCACUGGGAACUUGAUUCCCCUGAAGGGCCGUCGAAGACUACGACGUUGAUAGGCUGGGUGUGUAAGCGUUGU
rnacentral:rRNA from 1 species